UGAGUUUAGACGCAAAACUGCACUUAGACGCAAAACUGCGCUUAGAUGCAAAACUGCGCUUAGAUGCAAAACUGCGCUUAGACGCAAAACUGCGCUUAAACGCAAUCUGCGCUUAGACGCAAACUGCACUUAGAUACAAACUGAGAAUUUGCUUUUGCAUCAUAAUAGUUUUUGAACGAACGCAGCUUUUGGUUCUUAAUCGCUGUAAGAUUUCCGCUGCACUAAUUCACCCCCCCCCCUCUUAGUGCUCUCGAUCCUA
rnacentral:lncRNA from 1 species